GGAGGGAUCGCAUAGUGGUCGAGUGCAGCGGUUUACUAAACCGCCGUGGUGAAAGCUACCGAGGGUUCGAAUCCCUCUCCCUCCG
rnacentral:tRNA from 1 species